rnacentral:rRNA from 1 species
CCUACGGGAGGCAGCAGUAGGGAAUAUUGCGCAAUGGGGGAAACCCUGACGCAGCAACGCCGCGUGAGUGAGGAAGGUCUUAGGAUUGUAAAACUCUUUUAUUUGGGAAAAAUGACCAUAUGGCUAAUAUCCAUGUGGAGUGAUGGUACCAAAGGAAUAAGCACCGGCUAACUUCGUGCCAGCAGCCGCGGUAAU